GGAGGGAUGGCUGAGUGGUCGAAAGCGGCGGUCUUGAAAACCGUUGAGGCUAACACCUCCGUGGGUUCGAAUCCUACUCCCUCCGCCA
rnacentral:tRNA from 1 species